AGCCUUAGAGAAGCUGAAAUAGAUGGCAACCAUAGCUCUUCCCUUGUCUGCUGAUGCAGUCACUCCAUUUAGGAAAGCUACCAAAAUAUUCAGGCAUGAUUUGUCUUUGGUGAAGCCAUUUGAGCAGUCUCUAAUCACACCCCUGCCUUCCACAGGUUUUGACAUCUUCCAGGAGGAUCUGCUCUGUGAUUUUACCAGGCUUUGAGGGCUGCACAGAGGAAGUGUAGUUUCUCAGGGAUGGGACGGAGGGAACAUCUGCUUCCCAUCUCUCACACUGAGACAGAUGCGAGAGAGGGCAACAGCCUCAGUACCCUCUGAGGGUGCCCUCAGGCCACUGAGAUUCCUGCUGCAAUCCCUGCUCCCUGUUGGGAUGCGACCCUGCAGUGAACAACACGGCUUUCCUGCAAGGAACUGCGUCAGUCGGGACUGCUUGGGCUAGCAAAACAGGCCUGCCAGGAGCUGGGACGUUCUCACAAAGCCCAUGGACUUCC